rnacentral:misc_RNA from 1 species
UCCGGUUUGUCACCGGCAGUCUGGCGUGAGUCCCCAACUUAAUGCUGGCAACACGCCACGGGGGUUGCGCUCGUUGCGGGACUUAACCCAACAUUUCACAACACGAGCUGACGACAGCCAUGCAGCACCUGUCUCAGAGCUCCCGAAGGCACCAAAGCAUCUCUGCUAAGUUCUCUGGAUGUCAAGAGUAGGUAAGGUUCUUCGCGUUGCAUCGAAUUAAACCACAUGCUCCACCGCUUGUGCGGGCCCCCGUCAAUUCCUUUGAGUUUUAGCCUUGCGGCCGUACUCCCCAGGCGGAGUGCUUAAUGCGUUAGCUGCGGCACAGAGCGGGUUGAAGACCGCCCCACACCUAGCACUCAACGCUUACGGCUGGGACUAC